GGGAGGCAGCAGUGGGGAAUAUUGCACAAUGGGCGCCAGCCUGCUGCAGCCAUGCCGCGUGUGUGACGACGGCCCUCGGGUUGUACAGCACUUUCAGCGGGGAGGAAGGCGUUAAGGUUAAUAACCUCAUCGAUUGACGUUACCCUCAGACGAAGCACCGGCUAACUCCGUGCCAGCAGCCGCGGUAAUACGGAGGGUGCAAGCGUUAAUCGGAAUUACUGGGCGUAAAGCGCACGCAGGC
rnacentral:rRNA from 1 species